rnacentral:rRNA from 1 species
AGUGAACGCUGGCGGUAGGCCUAACACAUGCAAGUCGAACGGCAGCACAGUAAGAGCUUGCUCUUACGGGUGGCGAGUGGCGGACGGGUGAGGAAUACAUCGGAAUCUACUUUUUCGUGGGGGAUAACGUAGGGAAACUUACGCUAAUACCGCAUACGACCUACGGGUGAAAGCAGGGGAUCUUCGGACCUUGCGCGAUUGAAUGAGCCGAUGUCGGAUUAGCUAGUUGGCGGGGUAAAGGCCCACCAAGGCGACGAUCCGUAGCUGGUCUGAGAGGAUGAUCAGCCACACUGGAACGGAGACACGGUCCAGACUCCUACGGGAGGCAGCAGUGGGGAAUAUUGGACAAUGGGCGCAAGCCUGAUCCAGCCACACCGCGUGGGUGAAGAAGGCCUUCGGGUUGUAAAGCCCUUUUGUUGGGAAAGAAAAGCAGCAGGUUAAUACCCCGCUGUUCUGACGGUACCCAAAGAAUAAGCACCGGCUAACUUCGUG